ACAUUUUGCUGGUAUUUUUACAGUGACAGGUGCCGAACGCCCUGCCUUGGGAGAGGUAAUUUACCUCCAAAUCACAGUUUAUAUUGAAAAUGUCACAAGGAGAUGAAUUACGAAACAAAACCUAAAUUCGUCUCCUCUUGCCGUUGCCAAAUAAUUCCGAAGCUGACACAUGCGGCAAAGCAGCGAUUAAAAUAAUAAAUUUGGGGAAGCUGAACGAAUUUCCCUUUGAUAAUGAAUAAGUAUUAAGUCAAGUGCAUGGUUAACGAGUAUUUUUGCCUUCGAACAAAGAGAUGCAAACUGAGUGACGUUGGCGCACGUGUGCGCUAAUUUUUUCCCGAAUUUUGAUUUAUGGGGGUUAUGUAAACGGAGUCAGGUGACGGAAAAAUUGCACAUGUUGUAGACUAGCCCAGCUAGGGUGUAGUAAGUAAAUAGAAAAUGACUUACCAGUACGCGCCUCGCUUCAAUUUUUCCAAAAAUUUCGUUUUUGAUCUCGUUAUGUGCCCACGGACAUGGUGGAAUCUGUAGUGCGUGCACUGAUUUUUUAUAAAUAGCCACAUGAGGGGCGACGUUUAAUACAGCAAAUUACAGACCUGUCGGCUGUGUCAGUGAUAAAACAAUGAAUUUUGGAGGGUACACUUGCACGAACACUUUUUCCAGCAGUGAGAGUUGGGUAUGUUAAAUUUAGCCGCGUUGCACACACAGGUCGGCCAACAUGACGAACCGAAUGCCAAAUCUACUCCAGAAAUUCGAUUCAUUUGGCAAAAAGUGGCCGAUUUUCAUUAAUUACAGCGGUUUUUGCUUGCAUCUUCUGCGGGAAUUGUUCUGAGGCGGUUGGCAACACUGUUUCUAGAACUCUGCAAUGCCUUAGGCGAAUUCUAGAGCCCAGUUGGGGAAAACUGAUCAAAAUCGCGUGAGGUUGAAUUAAAAACGAGUCGUGUGACACAACGUCACAUCCACUACACUGAACCAGCGAAAAUUUCGCUAAAUUCCGCACUGAUCGCUUUUUUGACUCGAUUUGAUCAUUUUGGGGCGACUUAACCUCAAACUUUGCGACAUGUGACAUGUCACCUAUCAGUGCUACAACCCUGGCGAAAGGGCAGAGGGUAAAGUGACCAACUCAGGCACGUUUCAUUAAAAAAAAUGAGUUAUUCGGACGGAAAGUCCGUAUUUGCUAAGACUACAAAGUAUUCUAAGUUUUUCGGUUGCAACUUUGUCGUAAAAUACGACUUGGAAACUGAUUUUUUAAAACUUGGUCUUUUUAUUUUUAAUAACGAAGAGUUUAAUAAUUCCGAAAUGGAAAAAGAUAAUCCUAUAAUAGUUUAUACAAUGUUCCCUUACUUUGUCACGUAGAAUCUAAUUAGUAAUUAUGCAAAAUAUAUAGGUGUUCCAUUUAAAAAUGUAUAAGUUUGGUUUACCACUCUGUAUACAACAGCCUGUAUAUAAUAAAACUAUUUUGAGUU